rnacentral:rRNA from 1 species
AAAGGGUACGUAGGCGGAAAAUUAAGUCAGUAGUGAAAUCCUGCAGCUUAACUGUAGAACUGUUAUUGAUACUGGUUUUCUUGAAUAUAGUUGAGGUAGGCGGAAUGUGUAAUGUAGCGGUGAAAUGCUUAGAUAUUACACAGAACACCGAUUGCGAAGGCAGCUUAUAAGCUAUGAUUGACGCUGAGGUACGAAAGCGUGGGGAGCGAACAGGAUUAGAUACCCUGGUAGUCCACGCCAUAAACGAUGAUCACUCGUUGUUGGCAAUACAUCGUCAGCGACUUAGCGAAAGCAUUAAGUGAUCCACCUGGGGAGUACGAUCGCAAGAUUGAAACUCAAAGGAAUUGACGGGGGCCCGCACAAGCGGAGGAACAUGUGGUUUAAUUCGAUGAUACGCGAGGAACCUUACCUGGGCUUAAAUGUAGAACGACGGAUCGGGAAACUGAUCUUUCUUCGGACGCUUUGCAAGGUGCUGCAUGGCUGUCGUCAGCUCGUGCUGUGAGGUGUCGGGUUAAGUCCCAUAACGAGCGCAACCCUCAUCAUUAGUUGCCAGCGGGUAAUGCCGGGGACUCUAAUGAAACUGCCGGUGUAAACCGAGAGGAAGGUGGGGAUGACGUCAAGUCAGCACGGCCCUUAUGUCCAGGGCUACACACGUGUUACAAUGGUCGAUACAAAGGGCAGCUACCUGGUGACAGGAUGCUAAUCUCUAAAAUCGGUCUCAGUUCGGAUCGAAGUCUGCAACUCGACUUCGUGAAGCUGGAUUCGCUAGUAAUCGCGCAUCAGCCACGGCGCGGUGAAUACGUUCCCGGGCCUUGUACACACCGCCCGUCAAGCCAUGGAAGCUGGGGGUACCUGAAGUCCGUAACCGUAAGGAGCGGCCUAGGGUAAAACUAGUAACUGGGGCU